rnacentral:rRNA from 1 species
GCUAACGCGAUAAGUAGACCGCCUGGGGAGUACGGUCGCAAGACUAAAACUCAAAUGAAUUGACGGGGGCCCGCACAAGCGGUGGAGCAUGUGGUUUAAUUCGAUGCAACGCGAAGAACCUUACCUGGUCUUGACAUAGUAAGAACUUUCCAGAGAUGGAUUGGUGCCUUCGGGAGCUUACAUACAGGUGCUGCAUGGCUGUGUCAGCUCGUGUCGUGAGAUGUUGGGUUAAGUCCCGCAACGAGCGCAACCCUUUUCCUUAUUUGCCAGCCUUUGGGUGGGAACUUUAAGGAUACUGCCAGUGACAAACUGGAGGAAGGCGGGGACGACGUCAAGUCAUCAUGGCCCUUACGACCAGGGCUACACACGUGCUACAAUGGUCGGUACAAAGGGUUGCUACCUAGCGAUAGGGUGCUAAUCUCAAAAAGCCGAUCGUAGUCCGGAUUGGAGUCUGCAACUCGACUCCAUGAAGUCGGAAUCGCUAGUAAUGGCAGAU